rnacentral:rRNA from 1 species
GACCAGACUCCUACGGGAGGCAGCAGUGGGGAAUAUUGCACAAUGGGGGAAACCCUGAUGCAGCGACGCCGCGUGAAGGAAGAAGUAUUUCGGUAUGCAAACUUCUAUCAGCAGGGAAGAAAAUGACGGUACCUGACUAAGAAGCCCCGGCUAACUACGUGCCAGCAGCCGCGGUAAUACGUAGGGGGCAAGCGUUAUCCGGAUUUACUGGGUGUAAAGGGAGCGUAGGCGGUUUAGCAAGUCAGAAGUGAAAGCCCGGGGCUCAACUCCGGGACUGCCCUUGGAACUGCAUGGCUGGAGUGCGGGAGGGGCAGGCGGAAUUCCUGGUGUAGCGGUGAAAUGCGUAGAUAUCAGGAGGAACACCGGCGGCGAAGGCGGCCUGCUGGACCGCGACUGACGUUGAGGCUCGAAAGCGUGGGGAGCGAACAGGAUUAGAUACCCUAGUA